UACGUAGGGUGCGAGCGUUGUCCGGAAUUAUUGGGCGUAAAGGGCUCGUAGGCGGUUUGUCGCGUCGGGAGUGAAAUCCACUGGCUUAACUGGUGGCUUGCUUUCGAUACGGGCAGACUGGAGGUAUGCAGGGGAGAACGGAAUUCCUGGUGUAGCGGUGAAAUGCGCGGAUAUCAGGAGGAACACCAGUGGCGAAGGCGGCCUUCUGGACCAAUACUGACGCUCAUGCACGAAAGCGUGGGGAGCAAACAGG
rnacentral:rRNA from 1 species